ACGGAGAGUUUGAUCCUGGCUCAGGAUGAACGCUGACGGCGUGCCUAACACAUUGCAAGUCGAGUGCCGAAGUCCCCGCAAGGGGAUUGUAGGCACGGCAGACGGGUGCGUAACACGUGGGUAACCUUUCUUUGAGACGGGAAUAACCCGGGGAAACUCGGGAUAAUGCCCGAUACGUGCCGAGGCGCAAGCUGAGGACAUGAACAGCCGCCCGCAAGGGUGGCGCUCGAUGAGGGGCCCGCGGCCCAUCAGGUUGUUGGUGAGGUAACGGCUCACCAAGCCGACGACGGGUAGCUGGCGUGAGAGCGCGACCAGCCACACUGGAACUGAGACACGGUCCAGACUCCUACGGGAGGCAGCAGUGGGGAAUCUUGGGCAAUGGACGAAAGUCUGACCCAGCGACGCCGUGUGAGGGACGAAGGCCUUCGGGUCGUAAACCUCUGUCGGGAGGGAAAAAACUUCCGCCGGUGAACAAUCGGCGGAAUUGAUGGUACCUCCAAAGGAAGCCCCGGCUAACUACGUGCCAGCAGCCGCGGUAAUACGUAGGGGGCGAGCGUUGUCCGGAAUUACUGGGCGUAAAGCGUGAGUAGGUGGGGAGGUAAGUCCUGUGUGAAAGAUCCCGGCUCAACCGGGGGACCGCAUGGGAUACUGCCUUUCUUGAGGGGAGGAGAAGUGAGCGGAACUGCCGGUGUAGCGGUGAAAUGCGUAGAUAUCGGUAGGAACACCCGUGGCGAAAGCGGCUCACUAGCCUUUUUCUGACACUCAAUCACGAAAGCGUGGGGAGCAAACGGGAUUAGAGACCCCGGUAGUCCACGCCGUAAACGAUGUACACUAGGUGUUGGGGGAUUAUUUCCUCAGCGCCGCAGCUAACGCAUUAAGUGUACCGCCUGGGAAGUACGGCCGCAAGGUUGAAACUCAAAGGAAUUGACGGGGGCCCGCACAAGCGGUGGAGCACGUGGUUUAAUUCGAUGGUAAGCGAAGAACCUUACCUGGGCUUGACAUACUCGUAGUAGAAACCCGAAAGGGCGACGAUCCUGGUUCACACUGGGAAGCGAGCACAGGUGCUGCAUGGCUGUCGUCAGCUCGUGCCGUGAGGUGUUCAGUUAAGUCUGGUAACGAGCGCAACCCCCGUCCAUAGUUGCCAGCGGGUCAUGCCGGGGACUCUAUGGAGACUGCUCCAGCAAUGGAGAGGAAGGUGGGGAUGACGUCAAGUCCUCAUGGCCCUUACGCCCAGGGCUACACACGUGCUACAAUGGUCGGUACAGAGGGCUGCAAGACCGCGAGGUGGAGCCAAUCCCUAAAGCUGACCGUAGUUCGGAUCGCAGGCUGCAAUUUGACUGCGUGAAGGCGGAAUCGCUAGUAAUCUCGGGUCAGCCACACCGAGGUGAAUACGUUCCCGGGCCUUGUACACACCGCCCGUCACACCAUGGAAGCCAGUAACACCCGAAGACGGUGCGCAAACCCGCAAGGGAUGCAGCCGGUUAAGGUGGGAUUGGUGACUGGGGUGAAGUCGUAACAAGGUAUCCGUAGGAGAACCUGCGGAUGGAUCACCUCCUUUCUAAGGA
rnacentral:rRNA from 2 species